rnacentral:rRNA from 1 species
GCAAGUCGAGGGGUAACAUGAAGGUGCUUGCACUUGACGACGACCGGCGCACGGGUGCGUAACGCGUAUACAAUCUACCUUUUGCUGAGGGAUAGCCCAGAGAAAUUUGGAUUAAGACCUCAUGGUAUCUAGAGGGAGCAUUUUUUUUAGAUUAAAGGUAACGGCAAAAGAUGAGUAUGCGUCCUAUUAGCUAGAUGGUGUGGUAACGGCACACCAUGGCGACGAUAGGUAGGGGCCCUGAGAGGGGGAUC